rnacentral:rRNA from 1 species
UACGAAGGGGGCUAGCGUUGCUCGGAAUCACUGGGCGUAAAGCGCACGUAGGCGGCUUUCUAAGUCAGGGGUGAAAUCCUGGAGCUCAACUCCAGAACUGCCUCUGAUACUGGGAAGCUCGAGUCCGGAAGAGGUGAGUGGAACUGCGAGUGUAGAGGUGAAAUUCGUAGAUAUUCGCAAGAACACCAGUGGCGAAGGCGGCUCACUGGUCCGGUACUGACGCUGAGGUGCGAAAGCGUGGGGAGCAAACAGG